rnacentral:tRNA from 1 species
UCCAGGGUAGCUUAGAGGACAUGGCAUUUGCCCGGUAAGCGUAACAAUGUGGGUUCGAUUCCCAUCCAUGGAC